rnacentral:sRNA from 2 species
UGCCACGGAACCAUUAUUGCUCCAUUGUCACUGAUUGGGGCCUUAUUCAUCUAUCACGAUCCAUUUUUAGGAUCUCGACUGGCGCUGGCGCUGGUGGCUUCUUAUUGUCAAGAAUUAUCACUCGAUGAUGCUGGAGUUGUGGCUUGAUGACGAAAGCUGCUUCACCUGCUGCUGUAGCUAACCACCGCGUAGAUAUGAGCGAAGGAGGCUCUCUGCAGGUUGAUAAUAAAAUAGACGCAUACGCAUAUGACCAACUGGGUGGCGCCAGGGCUGAGAGAGGCCGAAGGGGGAAGCAAGAUGAAUGUUGGCGGAAUCCUGCAUCAGAAAACUUAUUCCGUGACUUGGCGGAGAUAUUACAUCCGAUUGGAUGGGAUAGACAAGCUGGUAUGGAUUUACGGUAGGAUUCCACGAGAGGCAUUGAAAAGAAGCUGCUGCUUCUGGAACUUGUCGACACGAGCAUGAAUUGGGGAAAGAUAUCAAAGUUCAUACACAUUCUCGAAGAGAAGAUCAACACGGAAAUUAUUUAGUCGAAACAUAUGAAACAUUUUUCGCUGUUGAAUGGCAUUCAUCCGAUAUAUAUAAUAC